AGUGAACGCUGGCGGUAGGCCUAACACAUGCAAGUCGAACGGCAGCACAGUAAGAGCUUGCUCUUACGGGUGGCGAGUGGCGGACGGGUGAGGAAUACAUCGGAAUCUACUUUUUCGUGGGGGAUAACGUAGGGAAACUUACGCUAAUACCGCAUACGACCUACGGGUGAAAGCAGGGGAUCUUCGUACCUUGCGCGAUUGAAUGAGCCGAUGUCGGAUUAGCUAGUUGGCGGGGUAAAGGCCCACCAAGGCGACGAUCCGUAGCUGGUCUGAGAGGAUGGUCAGCCACACUGGAACUGGGACACGGUCCAGAGUCCUACGGGAGGCAGCAGUGGGGAAUAUUGGACAAAGGGCGCAAGCCUGAUCCAGCCAUACCGCGUGGGUGAAGAAGGCCUUCGGGUUGUAAAGCCCUUUUGUUGGGAAAGAAAAGCAGCAGGUUAAUACCCCGCUGUUCUGACGGUACCCAAAGAAUAAGCACCGGCUAACUUCGUG
rnacentral:rRNA from 1 species